ensembl:snRNA U6 U6 spliceosomal RNA
GGACUUGCUUUGGCAGUACAUCUACUGAGAGUGGAAGGAUACAGAGAAGAUGGGCAUGGCAUUGUGCAAGGAUGACUCCCAAACCCAGGCAACUUAGUUAAUAAUA